ensembl:lincRNA LIM homeobox 1, opposite strand
AGUGGCGGCGGGCCCGCGCGGUGCCGGCGACUACAGCGAGAUGUCCUGGCCCCUUCCAGGUUUGGAGAUGGCCUUGGGAGAGCAACCUCCGGACCUCAGCAGUGUGAGGAUGACAACAGUACCCUGUGGUGCUGUCCCCACUCAGGUUGGCUGCCAUCCCUGCUGAUGGAGAGAGGCUGAAGUCUGUCUGAGAAGAUAGUGCCGGCAGCUACUUAGCUGGUACUAAUUGUAUUUGCAGAGUAGGGGGUUUCUCUCUGUAGCCCUGACUGUCCUGGAACUCACUCUGCAGACCAGGCUGUCCUCAAGCUCAGAGAUCUACCUGCCUCUGCUUCUGAAGUACUUGGAUUAAAGAUGCAGAGGCCUCCCAGAGAAGUGUGAAGGAAUGGGCCUUAACCAGGGUUGAAGAAAGAAAGUGAAGAAGGGGAAAGCCCAAGGAAAGGUGGGGACAGUUGGAACUUUUGUUUACACCGGUCUACUACUCAUGUAUCGUAUGCUAUAAUCUCCAAAUUCCACAUUUAUUGUAGCUGUCUGCAGUGUGUAUGCCCCGGCCGCAUGCUGCUUGGCUAAAAAAGUGUUAAAUAAAACUGUAAGAAACGCU